GUGACCCUGCGGUUAAAACCCGCGCGCUGCAGCAUCGCGGAAAACGGGAUUCGCCUCAUUUGAAACUUGAGGAAAAUCUCUAAACACUUUCAUUUUGAUAGAAACCAUUUCCGCCGCUGACGUGCGUCUACGCCCAUCAUUUCAGCUGACACGUUGCUGUAACGUCUCCUCCGUUUCAUGCUCUUUCGAACCCUGUCAGCUGCGGGAAGGAACUUCUAAACUAAAAGCUGGCAAGACUCAGCAGAAAAAAAAUAUCGAAAGCUGCUUCUGCUGCCCCAGCUUCACUCAGGCCCUGGCUGCUCCUUCACUGGUCUACACUGCUGCCUCCUGGAACCACCCACUCUGCAACCAGCCGUGAGGCGUGAGGCUCACUCGGAAGCUCCCGGAACCUGGAGACUGCCCUCACUCAACACUUGAACAAGCAAGGGGCCAGGUUCAAUGAAACACCUGCCCGCCCGGCACACCAGGCUCAAAAGCAAGCAAGCAAGCAAACAAACAAACAAAAUCAAAUCAGGCCUUCACAACUCCCCAAAUCAUGUGUGAGUUUCUACAGAGCAGAAGCCAAAAAUAUAUGUUAUCUAACUAGGUCCUAUUUACAUAUAUUUUUAUGGCUGCUCUAAAAAAUUAUCACAAACAUAGCGGCUUCACCCCGUUUCCCCUGUUGUGAUUAUUACACAUUGGAUGCCUGUAUCAAAAUAUCUCAUGGACCCCAUAAAUAGCAACACCCUGUAUGUACUCAUGACAAUUUUUUAAAAAAGAACACUUACACUUUC
rnacentral:lncRNA from 1 species